rnacentral:rRNA from 1 species
GGCGGCAGGCCUAACACAUGCAAGUCGGACGGUAGCACAGAGGAGCUUGCUCCUCGGGUGACGAGUGGCGGACGGGUGAGUAAUGUCUGGGGAUCUGCCCGAUAGAGGGGGAUAACCACUGGAAACGGUGGCUAAUACCGCAUAACGUCGCAAGACCAAAGAGGGGGACCUUCGGGCCUCUCACUAUCAGAUGAACCCAGAUGGGAUUAGCUAGUAGGCGGGGUAACGGCCCACCUAGGCGACGAUCCCUAGCUGGUCUGAGAGGAUGACCAGCCACACUGGAACUGAGACACGGUCCAGACUCCUACGGGAGGCAGCAGUGGGGAAUAUUGCACAAUGGGCGCAAGCCUGAUGCAGCCAUGCCGCGUGUAUGAAGAAGGCCUUCGGGUUGUAAAGUACUUUCAGCGGGGAGGAAGGCAGUGAGGUUAAUAACCUUACUGAUUGACGUUACCCGCAGAAGAAGCACCGGCUAACUCCGUGCCAGCAGCCGCGGUAAUACGGAGGGUGC